GAUAGCGAGAAUAGUCACAGUAGUUCUUUAAGAACUACUGUGACCAAAUUAUGGUGAUAGCGAUAAUUUAUCCAAGUUAUCAAGUAGCGAUACUGAUAGUAUUAUCAGAAAAUUAAGACAGCCUUAUUCUGAUGUAUCUGCAGAUGAUAUAUAUUGCAUGAUAUUUCAAACGCAACCGAUAAAGGAAUAGACGAUACUUGUACUUCACAUAGAUUGACCAUGUCGUCUGGUGUUAAUAUCUCAAUCAAUAACAUUUCAAAUACAACAUUAGGUCCUGAUGCAAAUGUUCAACUAAAUACAAAAGAUCGCACUUAUUCAGAUGCCAACACAGUUGUUCAUAAUCGAUCCUACAGUAACGAACAAAAUAUUGUCAGUAUGAUUCUUUUUAUUAACAUUGAAUUUACAAAUGUGUAU